rnacentral:rRNA from 1 species
AAAGGGUCCGUAGGCGGGCCCGUAAGUCAGUGGUGAAAUCUCAUAGCUCAACUAUGAAACUGCCAUUGAUACUGCGGGCCUUGAGUAAGGUAGAGGUAGCUGGAAUAAGUAGUGUAGCGGUGAAAUGCAUAGAUAUUACUUAGAACACCAAUUGCGAAGGCAGGUUACCAUGUCUUAACUGACGCUGAUGGACGAAAGCGUGGGGAGCGAACAGGAUUAGAUACCCUGGU